CAGAGUAUCUUUUAUUUAUUUGAUUGUCCCCUGGUCAUCAACCUUGUUCUUGUCAAGGGGCCCAAACAUUCUCAUUCAAAGGCUGUAUUUACAAACGAAGCGGGAUGGCCAUAAAACUGAUGACCUUGCUGCUUCUGGAAUCUCAUAAAAAGUUUCCAAGCUGCUCCUCCCCAGAGCAAAUAAGGGCGUUGCAGUUGCUGGUCCCCUGGCAGGGCUCCAGCUGCAGCUAUUACAUUCCUCCCUCAUCAGCUUUCCUCUGAGGCUCCGAAGGCAGACACGCCUGGCCUGCAUGUCAGGGUGCUUAACUCUGAAGGAGCUGCUGUGCUUGGAGCGCUCAAACCCAGAAGUGGGGGCAACAGAGAAAACAAAGGGGAGAAGGGAGGAAAGAGGCAACGUUGUCUGAGAUGCUGUUAUGUGCCAGGCACUGGGCAAAGACUUUUUCAUUAAUUCUCUUAUCCAAGCUUUAUCACUUAUUCAUAGGCUAGCCCUCCCUGGACGCUUUAACCCAUACUGCUCAUUUUGUUGGGGUGCCAUGGAUAUGGCUCAUUAAAAUGUAUCUAUUUUCCAAUGGCCUGUGCAGUAGACACAACCAGGUGAUACUGAUGAGGUCAAUGAGAGGCAAUGCACAUGCAUGUGGGUGGGGCUUCUGGGAAUCUAUUGUUUUACUGAUAGACUCGUACUUAGUGGGCAUGUGUGUGUCGUCCUUUUUCAUGCCUCCCGAGGAUGUGAAGCUUAGAGGAGCAGCACCCAUCUUAUGACCAAAAGGAUAAACGAUGGUAAAACAGAAAGAAGGAAAGAGCCUGGGUGUGAAUGGCGAACUGGAGAUGCUUCCUCAACCCCCAUCUCCCUGUGUAAGACUUCUUGUUACCAUGAGAAAAUAGUCCCCUUCCUUGUGGUGGUAACAGACUUGCGAGUGGUCCUGGGGUUCCCAUCUACUCCACUUGAACGCGGGUGGGACCUAGGACUUGCUUCUAACCAGUAGAAUAGGGCAAAGGUUAUGGGAUGUCCCUCUGUGAUUACAUUAGGUUAUAUAAGGCUUCACCCUGUUAGUGGACUUGCUAUAGGUACUCUCCUUGCUAACUUAAUAAAGUCAGCAGCCAUGUUGGAAAAGCCCACAUGGCCAGGAACUAUGGGUGGCUUCUAGGAACUACAGAAAACCUCUAUAAACUGUGGGAGACUUCGAACUGUGAGUGAACUUUAGGAGCUAAGUAUGGCAUCCAGACAGCAAGAAGUCAGGACCCUCAGUCCUACAGCUGUAAGAAAAUAUAUUCUGUCAACAACCUGAGUGAGCUUGGAAGUGGAUUCUUCCCCGGACAAGCCCCCAGAUGAGAAUGCAAAGCAGCUGACACCUUCAUUGCAGCCUGAUGAGACCCUGAACAGAGGAUUCAGCCAAGCCAUGCCAGACUCUUGAUCCACAGAAACCGCAUCUAUUUUGCUGUGGAACUGAAAUACAACCCAAAAAACUGCAAGGAAGAGAAAUAUCAAGACUACUUUCUCCAAAGAAAUUUGGAUUGAAAAUCAGAACACAGUGAAAAUGACUUAGAGAAAAUAAUGCCACAGAUAUAUCUAAAAUGUGAAUGAAGCUGGAAGCAGCAGAGGACCACACACCAUGAAAUGUAAACAGAGGAGAAAAAAGCUAGAUGCCAGACAGGAAGAGAAGAACCAGAAGAGCAGUCUUUACAAAUAGAGCAACACUAAUACUCCAAGAAGAUGGGCCAUGCUUAUCCUGAGUGUGCUCCCCAAAGAUGUCAGUCAGAAGCCGACAGUACGGAAUGAAGGGCAGCACAGGUGGAAGGAGAUGUGGCUCGGAGAACAGAGAGUAGAAGGUAUUUGACCAGCCAGGCUAGAACAGUUCAAAUGUUAUUCAGAGGACAGUGGGGAAUCAUGAAAGAUAUAUUUUGAACUGAGGGAUGACAUUUGACUUUUUGGCAAGAUUAGUCUGGCAAGGACACAAAGGAUGAAGUCAUAUUUGGGGGCAUUUUUAAGCAUCAGGUACUGAUCUAGCUGCUGGAUAACUGAACAAAAGAGGCAGAAAUCCCUGCCCUUAUGGGGCUUACAUUUCAAUAUGGGGAAAUAAACAAUAAAUAAGAUGAAAAAUGUAAUGAGACCUGACAGGAAGAGAUCACAAACAGGAGAGUGGUGACUGUAAAGGAAAGGUGAGGAUGAUUAGAAACAAAAGAAUUCUGAUUAUGCCUAGGUGAUUGAGAUGAUAGUAGUACUAAUGUCAGAAAUCAAGGAGUCAGAAUGAUGGUUCUAUCAGAAGAAAAUGGACAAAAAUGGGUUAUUUUAGAUUUGCAGGUCCAGAGGUCCCUACUGACCCAACAGAUGAAAAUCCAAGGCUCUGGGAGGUCAGGACUGGAGAUACAAACUUCAUGACUACCUGCAGUCAGAUACGAGUGGAAGCCACAAGAGGGAAAAGGGAGAAAAGCAGAGAGCAAAGGGCAAAAGACUUGAUAAA